rnacentral:rRNA from 1 species
GUGCUUAACACAUGCAAGUCGAACGGAAAGGCCCCUUCGGGGGUACUCGAGUGGCGAACGGGUGAGUAACACGUGGGUGAUCUGCCCUGCACUUCGGGAUAAGCCUGGGAAACUGGGUCUAAUACCGGAUAGGACCACUUGGCGCAUGCCUUGUGGUGGAAAGCUUUUGCGGUGUGGGAUGGGCCCGCGGCCUAUCAGCUUGUUGGUGGGGUCACGGCCUACCAAGGCUCCGACGGGUAGCCGGCCUGAGAGGGUGUCCGGCCACACUGGGACUGAGAUACGGCCCAGACUCCUACGGGAGGCAGCAGUGGGGAAUAUUGCACAAUGGGCGCAAGCCUGAUGCAGCGACGCCGCGUGGGGGAUGACGGCCUUCGGGUUGUAAACCUCUUUCACCAUCGACGAAGGUCCGGGUUUUCUCGGAUUGACGGUAGGUGGAGAAGAAGCACCGGCCAACUACGUGCCAGCAGCCGCGGUAAUACGUAGGGUGCGAGCGUUGUCCGGAAUUACUGGGCGUAAAGAGCUCGUAGGUGGUUUGUCGCGUUGUUCGUGAAAUC